rnacentral:rRNA from 1 species
CAGCACCUCAAGUGGUCAGGAUGAUUAUUGGGCCUAAAGCAUCCGUAGCCGGCGCUGUAAGUUUUCGGUUAAAUCUGUACGCUCAACGUACAGGCUGCCGGGAAUACUGCAGCGCUAGGGAGUGGGAGAGGUAGACGGUACUCGGUAGGAAGGGGUAAAAUCCUUUGAUCUAUUGAUGACCACCUGUGGCGAAGGCGGUCGACCAGAACACGUCCGACGGUGAGGGAUGAAAGCUGGGGGAGCAGACCGGAUUAGAGACCCGAGUAGUCC